AUUGAACGCUGGCGGCAGGCCUAACACAUGCAAGUCGAGCGGAGCGGCGGACGGGUGAGUAAUACCUAGGAAUCUGCCUGGUCGUGGGGGAUAACGUUCGGAACCGGACGCUAAUACCGCAUACUAUCAGAUGAGCCUAGGUCGGAUUAGCUAGGUGGUGGGGUAAUGGCCCACCAAGGCCACGAACCGUAACUGGGCUGAGAGGAUGAUCAGUCACACUGGAAAUGGGAAACGGUCCAAGCACCUUCGGGAGGCAGCAGGGGGGAAUAUUGGACAAUGGGCGAAAGCCUGAUCCAGCCAUGCCGCGUGUGUGAAGAAGGUCUUCGGAGUGUAAAGCACUUUAAGUUGGGAGGCGUUACCGACAGAAUGAGCACCGGCUAACUCUGUGCCAGCCGCCGCGGUAAUUC
rnacentral:rRNA from 1 species